rnacentral:rRNA from 1 species
CGCGUAGGCGGCCUGGUCAGUCGGAUGUGAAAGCCCCGGGCUUAACCUGGGAAUUGCAUUCGAUACUGCCAGGCUGGAGUGUAGUAGAGGGAAGCGGAAUUCCGGGUGUAGCGGUGAAAUGCGUAGAGAUCCGGAGGAACAUCAGUGGCGAAGGCGGCUUCCUGGACUAACACUGACGCUGAGGUGCGAAAGCGUGGGGAGCAAACA